rnacentral:lncRNA from 1 species
GUCACGAAUCAGAACCUUAUCUAAUAGAUCAGGCAAUAUAUUCAACUAUUUUGGGUACAAGUCUAAUGUUCUCCAAGGCAAAUAUUUCACUCUGUCUUGAAAAAAGGGAUUUAGAAAUAUAACCAGCUAAGACAACAAAUGUGGCUAAGAUUCUUUCACCUCUCAGAAAGUAAGUGGAAAUGUCCUUACCUUCCCAGAGUCUUGUUGUUCCUACCACUCUUUAUCUGUUCUCUUGCCUGACUUCUGACUUCUCUCAUCUACCAGGUCAUCCUCAAUUCUGAAAUGUCUGUGUCCUUUUUGUUCCCUAACCUAAUGAUGUUGCUCCAGCUGAUAUUGCUGA